rnacentral:rRNA from 1 species
CGUGGCUUUCGGCCGACCUGGUGUGGGUGGGUUGAAAGUAUCCUACAUAAUGGCACUUUGAGCAUUAAGCUCAAUAAUGAAACUGGUCCAUACUUUAAAAACCACAAAGGGGUUCGUCAAGGUGACCCUUACUCUCCAUUUUUGUUUAAUCUUGCUGUGGAAACCCUAUCAAAGAUGGUACUUAAUCCUCAGAAAAAAAUGAUAACUGGCCUUGCGCCAAAUUUGAUUGAGGGAGUGGCUAUCUUACAAAAUGCAGAUGACACGGUUAUCUACUUUGAACAUGACAACGAUGCAGCUGUUAAUCUCAAACUAUACAUGUUCGAGCUUAUGUCAGGGCUGAAGAUCAACUUCAUGAAAAGUGAGAUCCUUUGUGUUGGGGAAGAUGAUGAUAGUAUACCCUUUUAUGCUGGACUUUUUAAUUGUAGCAUUGGUCACUUCCCAUGA